rnacentral:tRNA from 1 species
GCCCGUCUGGCCCAACGGAAGAGGCGCCGCGCUCAGAUCGCGGAGGUUCAGGGUUCGAAUCCCUGGUCGGGUAC